rnacentral:rRNA from 1 species
UACGAAGGGGGCUAGCGUUGUUCGGAUUUACUGGGCGUAAAGCGCACGUAGGCGGAUUGUUAAGUCAGGGGUAAGAACUCUGGAGCUCAACUCCAGAACUGCCUUUGAUACUGGCAAUCUAGAGUCCGGAAGAGGUGAGUGGAACUCCUAGUGUAGAGGUGGAAUUCGUAGAUAUUAGGAAGAACACCAGUGGCGAAGGCGGCUCACUGGUCCGGUACUGACGCUGAGGUGCGAAAGCGUGGGGAGCAAACAGGG